UUGCUAUCCGUCUGGAAACAUUGGGAGGCCUAAUGAUUUGGUUUACGGCAACUUUUGCGGUGAUGCAGAAUGGAAGGGCAGAGAACCAGCAGGCAUUUGCAUCUACAAUGGGUCUGCUUCUCAGUUAUGCUUUAAAUAUUACAGGUUUACUGACCGGUGUACUCAGACUUGCAAGUUUGGCUGAGAAUAGUUUAAAUGCUGUAGAGCGAGUUGGCACAUACAUAGAUUUGCCAUCAGAGGCCCCCCCAAUUAUUGAGGGCAAUCGUCCCCCUCCAGGUUGGCCUUCAUCAGGAUUAAUCAAGUUUGACGACAUUGUCCUGCGAUACAGGCCUGAACUUCCACCAGUCCUACAUGGACUGUCCUUCAUAGUUUCUCCAAGUGACAAGGUUGGGAUAGUUGGAAGGACUGGAGCAGG
rnacentral:misc_RNA from 1 species